rnacentral:rRNA from 1 species
CCUACGGGUGGCAGCAGUGGGGAAUAUUGCACAAUGGGGGAAACCCUGAUGCAGCGACGCCGCGUGGGGGAAGAAGUAUUUCGGUAUGUAAAGCUCUAUCGUCAGGGAAGAGAAUGACGGUACCUGAGGAAGAAGCACCGGCUAACUACGUGCCAGCAGCCGCGGUAAUACGUAGGGGGCAAGCGUUAUCCGGAUUUACUGGGUGUAAAGAGAGCGUAGACGGCGAAGCAAGUCUGAAGUGAAAGCCCACGGCUCAACCGAGGAACUGCUUUGGAAACUUUUUUGCUGGAGUACCGGAGAGGUAAGCGGAAUUCUUAGUGUAGCGGUGAAAUGCGUAGAGAUUAGGAGGAAUACUAGUUGCGAAGGCGACUUACUGGACCGUAACUGACGUUGAGGCUCGAAAGCGUGGGGAGCAAACAGGAUUAGAUACCCUUGUAGUC